CCUACGGGAGGCAGCAGUGGGGAAUAUUGCACAAUGGGGGGAACCCUGAUGCAGCAACGCCGCGUGGGUGAAGAAGUACUCCGGUAUGUAAAGCUCUGUCAGCAGGGAAGAAAAUGACGGUACCUGACCAAGAAGCCCCGGCUAACUACGUGCCAGCAGCCGCGGUAAUACGUAGGGGGCAAGCGUUAUCCGGAUUUACUGGGGGUAAAGGGAGCGUAGACGGCAAGGCAAGUCUGGAGUGAAAGCCCGGGGCCCAACCACGGGACUGCUUUGGAAACUGUGUUGCUGGAGUGCAGGAGGGGUAAGCGGAAUUCCUAGUGUAGCGGUGAAAUGCGUAGAUAUUAGGAGGAACACCAGUGGCGAAGGCGGCUUACUGGACUGUAACUGACGUUGAGGCUCGAAGGCGUGGGGAGCAAACAGGAUUAGAGACCCUUGUAGUC
rnacentral:rRNA from 1 species